UUGUGCGAGUCGCCUCUAGGCCUUUACUUGAUGUCUUGGAUUCUUUCCCUGUAUUCUUUUCAACUUUGUCUUGUUGAAUUCUGCAGUUUGGAAUAACAUGAGCUUCCAUUGUUGUUCCACUGGGUAUCUCACUGUAAAACUCUUGAAUUCUGCCAUCGGAUUCAAGACUCUGGUAGAAGAUACUCAUGAUUGUGGACAUUAUCAUAUCAAAAUGAUGAACAAGUGUUUUAUAAGAUGAGAUCAAGUUUUUCUUUCUUUCUUUUUU
rnacentral:misc_RNA from 1 species